rnacentral:rRNA from 2 species
UAAUAUUGAAAGCUCCGGCGGAUAGAGAUGGGCACGCGCAAGAUUAGCNAGUUGGUGAGGUAACGGCUCACCAAGGCAAUGAUCUUUAGGGGGCCUGAGAGGGUGAUCCCCCACACUGGUACUGAGACACGGACCAGACUCCUACGGGAGGCAGCAGUGAGGAAUAUUGGUCAAUGGGUGCAAGCCUGAACCAGCCAUCCCGCGUGAAGGACGACUGCCCUAUGGGUUGUAAACUUCUUUUGUAUAGGGAUAAACCUUUCCACGUGUGGAAAGCUGAAGGUACUAUACGAAUAAGCACCGGCUAACUCCG